rnacentral:rRNA from 1 species
UGGCGACCGGCGCACGGGUGAGUAACACGUAUCCAACCUGCCGAUAACUCGGGGAUAGCCUUUCGAAAGAAAGAUUAAUAUCCGAUAGCAUAUCAAGAUCGCAUGAUCUUGAUAUUAAAGAAUUUCGGUUAUCGAUGGGGAUGCGUUCCAUUAGUUAGUUGGCGGGGUAACGGCCCACCAAGACGACGAUGGAUAGGGGUUCUGAGAGGAAGGUCCCCCACAUUGAAACUGAGACACGGUCCAAACUCCUACGGGAGGCAGCAG